AUUAUUAAUUAAAUUGUAUUAAUUUAUUAUAAUAUUUAUAUUUAAAAUAAGAAAAUUAGGAUCAUUGUAUAUAAAUAAAUAGGAAAAUUUAUACUAUAGUGUAUAAGUAUUGUGAAAGAAAUUAACCAUUAUUUAAAUAAGUAAAAGAUGAUUUAAUUUGUUGUAUCUUGUGUAUCAGAGUAUAUUAAAAUUGAUUAUUAAUGUUUUUUAUCUCGAAUUUAAAAGAUUUAAUUGAUUAAAUUAGUUAUUGUUUAAAAAAUAUUAAGAAUAGUUGAUUGGUAAUGAAAUGUUAUUCGUUUUUAAGGAUAUCUAGUUUUUUAAUAAAUGAAUUCAAUUCAUAAGGUUAAAGUAUUGUUUUUUAAAUUUUAUAUAACAUAUUUUAUCUUAACUUUUUUCAGGGAAAAGCUUGAGGAAAUAUUAUUAUAAUAAUAAAUUGUGUAGGGUUUAAUAAAUUUAGAAUUUGUUAUUAAUUGAAUUAUGUUAAAAUUUAUCUCUAAUUAUGUAAUAAUUUUUAAUUUAUUUAAAGUUUUUAUUAAAAUAUUGAAAAUAAUUGUAAAUUCUUGAUAAUUAUGAUUUAAUUAGUAAAUAAAUAGGAAAAUUAGUGCAAUAUUUUAUAAUUUAAUAUAAAGAAUUAGGUAAGUAUUUUAUUCGCCUGUUUAUUAAAAACAUGGUUUCUUGAUAUAAAUAGGAGAUUUAACCUGCCCACUGAAUUAUAUUUGAAGGGCCGCAGUAAUUUGACUGUGCAAAGGUAGCAUAAUCAUUAGUCUUUUAAUUGGAGGCUGGUAUGAAUGGUUGGACGAGAUAAAGACUGUUUUAUAUUAAAAAAUUGAAUUUUGAUUUUGAGUAAAAAGACUUAAAUGAUAUUAAGGGACGAGAAGACCCUAUAGAGUUUAAUAAAUGUAAUUUUAACCUAGUUUUUAUUAGAUUUUUGGUUAUUAAAAUAGUUUAUUUAGUUGGGGUGAUAAAAAGAUAAAUUAACUCUUUUUAAAAUUAAAUAAAAUUUAGUAGAAUAAUGAUCCAUUAUUAGUGAUUAUAAGAUUAAAUUACCUUAGGGAUAACAGCAUAAUUUCUUUAAAGAGUUCUUAUCAAAAAGGAAGAUUAUGACCUCGAUGUUGGAUUAAGAUAAAUUUUGGGUGUAGAUGUUCAAGUGAUUAGGUCUGUUCGACCUUAAAAAUCUUACAUGAUCUGAGUUUAAACCGGUGUGAGCCAGGUUGGUUUCUAUCUUUAAUUAGAUAUUAUACUUUAGUACGAGAGGACCAGGUAUAAAGAAUAAUUUUAUUUUAGUUGAUUUUUAAUAAAUUGGU
rnacentral:rRNA from 1 species